rnacentral:rRNA from 1 species
UACGUAGGGGGCAAGCGUUGUCCGGAAUCAUUGGGCGUAAAGCGCGCGUAGGUGGCCCGGUAAGUCCGUUCUGAAAGUCCAGGGCUCAACCCUGGGAUGCGGAUGGAUACUGCCGGGCUCGAGUCCGGAAGAGGCGAGUGGAAUUCCCGGUGUAGCGGUGAAAUGCGCAGAUAUCGGGAGGAACACCAAUGGCGAAGGCAGCUCGCUGGGACGUGACUGACGCUGAGACGCGAAAGCGUGGGAGCAACAGG